AGAGUUUGAUCCUGGCUCAGGACGAACGCUGGCGGCGUGCUUAACACAUGCAAGUCGAGCGGAAAGGCCCUUCGGGGUACUCGAGCGGCGAACGGGUGAGUAACACGUGAGUAACCUGCCCCAAACUUUGGGAUAACCCUCGGAAACGGGGGCUAAUACCGGAUACGACACAGCUUCGCAUGGGGUCUGUGUGGAAAGUUUUUCGGUUUGGGAUGGGCUCGCGGCCUAUCAGCUUGUUGGUGGGGUAACGGCCUACCAAGGCGACGACGGGUAGCCGGCCUGAGAGGGCGACCGGCCACACUGGGACUGAGACACGGCCCAGACUCCUACGGGAGGCAGCAGUGGGGAAUAUUGCACAAUGGGCGGAAGCCUGAUGCAGCGACGCCGCGUGAGGGAUGACGGCCUUCGGGUUGUAAACCUCUUUCAGCAGGGACGAAGCGCAAGUGACGGUACCUGCAGAAGAAGCGCCGGCCAACUACGUGCCAGCAGCCGCGGUAAGACGUAGGGCGCGAGCGUUGUCCGGAUUUAUUGGGCGUAAAGAGCUCGUAGGCGGCUUGUCACGUCGACUGUGAAAUCCCGCGGCUCAACUGCGGGUCUGCAGUCGAUACGGGCAGGCUAGAGUUCGGUAGGGGAGACUGGAAUUCCUGGUGUAGCGGUGAAAUGCGCAGAUAUCAGGAGGAACACCGGUGGCGAAGGCGGGUCUCUGGGCCGAUACUGACGCUGAGGAGCGAAAGCGUGGGGAGCGAACAGGAUUAGAUACCCUAGUAGUCC
rnacentral:rRNA from 1 species